rnacentral:rRNA from 1 species
UACGUAGGGGGCAAGCGUUGUCCGGAAUCAUUGGGCGUAAAGAGCGUGUAGGCGGCCUGAUAAGUCGGCUGUGAAAGUCAAGGGCUCAACCCUUGAAUGCCGGCCGAUACUGUCAGGCUAGAGUCCGGAAGAGGCGAGUGGAAUUCCUGGUGUAGCGGUGAAAUGCGCAGAUAUCAGGAGGAACACCGAUUGCGAAGGCAGCUCGCUGGGACGUCACUGACGCUGAGACGCGAAAGCGUGGGGAGCAAACAGG